rnacentral:tRNA from 1 species
CCAGAAGCCCCCAAACUACACGGAGUCCAGCAGGUUUCUUUCCUUACACUCUUGCCUUGGGACAGCUGGUCUGAAGUGAAGUUGCCCAGUCGUGUCCGACUCUUUGAGACCCCGUGGACUGUAGCCUGCCAGGCUCCUCCGUCCAUGGAAUUUUCCUGGCAAGGAUACUGGAGUGGGUUGCCAUUUCCUCCUUCAGGGGCUCUUCCCUACCCAGGGAUCGAACCCUGGUCUCCUGCACUGCAGGCAGACUCUACCGCAUGAGCCACUAGGGAAAUUCCUCAGAGGCUGUGGAACGUUCUGGCAGGGGCAGAGCCCCUCCCCCGCACUGCCUCCUGCACAACAGCGGGGCGGAAGGAGCAGAGAGGGAGGGAGGCCUCUGAUUGGAGGAGGCUUGGUGAGAGGGCGGGGCGGUGGGCGUGUCCAACGGCCCCUGAAAAAGUCGUUGGGAUCCGUUAAGUUCCAGCGGCACCUCGCUCAUUUUUCUCUAAGGUGGCAUGAAGCUGACUUAGUUGGAGAACGGGCUUAUGGGGAUCUCCCCUUUCAGGAAGAUGAGAACUGCUAUAAGGAUUCAGGAAAACCCCUGAGGCCCAGGAUGUGGAGAACUGAGCGCCCCGUCCCUCACCGCCGGUUGGUUGUAGACGUUGUGGAGGGAGGGGUGCAAGGGGUUUUGUGCUCCCGGUCCCGCCAGGAGAUGGGCGGUGGUUGGAGAUGGGCCCCCAAGUCCUUCACAAGCCCCUUCCCCCUCGCCUCGGGGCUCAUCCGAGCAUUUCUCCGCUCUUUUCUCCCUUUACCUCUGUGUCUCUCUUGUGGGAAGAUUCCAUUCUUCCAUCCCAAGGAGGAGAGCCACUCGAAUGUCCUGAAAGACACUGGGACUCCGAGGACAGGAACUAGGAAGCACCCUUCCUGGGUCCCUGCCCCAGUGGACUUCUCCAGUUCUUCCUUCCCAGCCGUUGCUGUGGCAUUAGCCAUCUGGAAAAAGAGCUGCUGGUAGGACCUGGGACUUUUGUUCACACCCAUAAGCCUUCCCUCCAGAUAUCCAGUACUUUGCCUUCAGGAAGGAGACUUGAACUUCAGGCAACAGGAGAAAACCAAACCUUCAAGGGCUUUGGUUCCCUCCAAGGCCAAGGUUCCCAAGAUCCUUGGUUAAGAGGUCUGGGCCACUGCCCUCCCGUCUUCACUCUUCUUUUCCCUGUUUGUCCCAGAGUUCUGCUAUAACCCCAAAGCUUUUCUGUUUACCAUCAACAUGGAAACUUGACUCUUCAUAUAGGUAUAUUUUCCCUCUUUUGUGCAUCAUCUUGUUCCCAAAAACUGCCUUUUCAUGAAGGAGGCUUGUGGGACUCAAGGGGCCUGGCCAGUCACCCAGGCUCCCCCGAAGCCUCAGACCACUGGUAAUGUGGAGAAGUUUAAUAAAGAUGUCAUUACUUCUUGACUUGUAGCUUGU